rnacentral:rRNA from 1 species
UACGUAGGGUGCAAGCGUUGUCCGGAAUUAUUGGGCGUAAAGAGCUCGUAGGCGGUUUGUCGCGUCGAAUGUGAAAACCCGGGGCUCAACCCCGGGCCUGCAUUCGAUACGGGCGGACUAGAGUUCGGUAGGGGAGUCUGGAAUUCCUGGUGUAGCGGUGAAAUGCGCAGAUAUCAGGAGGAACACCGGUGGCGAAGGCGGGACUCUGGGCCGAUACUGACGCUGAGGAGCGAAAGCGUGGGGAGCGAACAGG